rnacentral:piRNA from 1 species
UACUUUGAUUAUUCCGGCUUC